GAUGAACGCUGGCGGCGUGCUUAACACAUGCAAGUCGAACGAAACACCUUAUUUGAUUUUCUUCGGAACUGAAGAUUUGGUGAUUGAGUGGCGGACGGGUGAGUAACGCGUGGGUAACCUGCCCUGUACAGGGGGAUAACAGUCAGAAAUGACUGCUAAUACCGCAUAAGACCACAGCACCGCAUGGUGCAGGGGUAAAAACUCCGGUGAUACAGGAUGGACCCGCGUCUGAUUAGCUGGUUGGUGAGGUAACGGCUCACCAAGGCGACGAUCAGUAGCCGGCUUGAGAGAGUGAACGGCCACAUUGGGACUGAGACACGGCCCAAACUCCUACGGGAGGCAGCAGUGGGGAAUAUUGCACAAUGGGGGAAACCCUGAUGCAGCGACGCCGCGUGAGUGAAGAAGUAUUUCGGUAUGUAAAGCUCUAUCAGCAGGGAAGAAAAUGACGGUACCUGACUAAGAAGCCCCGGCUAACUACGUG
rnacentral:rRNA from 1 species